UACGUAGGGUGCAAGCGUUAAUCGGAAUUACUGGGCGUAAAGCGUGCGCAGGUCGGUUGUGCAAGACAGAUGUGAAAUCCCCGGGCUCAACCUGGGAAUUGCAUUUGUGACUGCACGGCUAGAGUGUGUCAGAGGGGGGUAGAAUUCCACGUGUAGCAGUGAAAUGCGUAGAGAUGUGGAGGAAUACCGAUGGCGAAGGCAGCCCCCUGGGAUAACACUGACGCUCAUGCACGAAAGCGUGGGGAGCAAACAGG
rnacentral:rRNA from 1 species